ACCGGACUACUUAGCAGAGCAAGGUGAAGCAGUAGAAGACACUUGCUUUCUCCCAUGGUGUUUGUCAGCUUAUCCAGGAGGGUAUACAGGAGCCAGGUGGAAGGGACUAACCGUUUUCCCUUCUUUCUGUUCCGUGUACCUGUUCUUUGUUUUUUGUUUUGUUUGUUUUUGUUUUAUGUUUUGUUUUCUUAAAGUUACAGUCCCUGUUUCAGGCAUGAUCACCAUCCCAGCAGCCAGUUUGGCAGGGGCACAGAUCGUUCAGACAGGAGCCAAUACCAACACAACCAGUAGUGGACAAGGGACUGUCACUGUGACACUGCCAGUGGCAGGGAAUGUGGUCAACUCAGGAGGAAUGGUCAUGGUAAGGAGUGUCCCCACACUGGAGGUUUGGGUGGGCCCCUCCUGUCUGAGCUGGUGUUGUCUCUUGUGAAGUUUCCUAUGCUAACUUUGGGGUUGAAGCUAGCUCCAUCCUUAUGGCACUAGCAGUGUCUACGUCCACAGGAAGCAUAAUUCAUUCCGAUGCCUUCCAGGUACCAGACUAGUCUAGACUCUGGAAAGACAGCAGGAUGGGUACGAAUGGGCAAUUUCAUUUAAACUUUUCAUGCCGGUAGUAAGGUCUGCUCUCUUGUCCAUGCAG
rnacentral:lncRNA from 1 species